rnacentral:pre_miRNA from 1 species
UGGGUACUCCCUCCGUCCGGAAAUACUUGUCCUCGAAAUGGAUAAAAUGGAUGUAUCUAUAACUAAAAUAAGUCUAGAUACAACCAUUUCGAGGACAAGUAUUUCUGGACGGAGGGAGUACCAA